GGGAUGUGAUGAGUGGUCAUUUUUCGCGAUUAGCUUUGCGAGAUGGGUGUCCGCCCCAAUGCCAGUUACGACAAUACGGGCACUCCCAUUAAUACCAAUCUGAUCCC